UGCACACCACUGUUAUACUGCUCCGCUACUUGUCUAUUUGUGGCCCGCCAAUACUUGCCAUUCUUCUUUGACCUCUCUCAUCAACAUGCUGUUUUCGCCCCCCACAGGACUACAUCUGACUGGACAUUUUUUGUUUGUCGCACCAUUAUUGCUAAACCCUAGACACUGUCAUGCAUGAAAAGUCCAGAAGGGCAGCAAAUAUCUAAGAUACUGGAUCCUGCUUGCCAGGCACCGAAGAUCAUACCACACUCAGUGGCUUAGGUUUGGGAGAGGCGAAGGUGAAGUCAGUCCGAAACAUGACCUGCCUAAUCGUGCUCCAUAACACCCGCCAGCCUAACCUGGAAGCCUACCGCACCAAUGUUUCAGAGGAAACACCAUUCAACUGGCGACCGGGGUCAACCCAGAAUUGCAUACAAGAUCCUCCCUUGCCCUCCUUUUGGCAAAUCUGACCACAACUGUAUUCUCCUGCUUCUUCUUUACAAACAAAAGCUCAAAUUGACUUUCCAGUGUCGUGCUCAACACGG
ensembl:lncRNA